GGAAAGGGUCAGGCCCUUCUGAAGACCUCCAGGCAUCGUUUGUGUCCAGGUGUCCACACCAGCGUGCUAUGACCAAAGGUGAGAAGCUGCACCACUGCUGCCUUCCCCACCAAGGGAUGGGGCUUUUUUAAACACUUCCCAGGGCUGUGAACCACACAGUGGACAGCAAUGCGUUUUUCUUUACUUCUCCAAACUGCAGCACAAUGCAGAAAUGUUUUCCCUUUGCUGGGUGAUCCCAAGUGCUUCCCAGCAUCGAGGGAGCAAAAUCACAACGGUGGCUGCAUUUCCCUUAUCCUGUCCCAGCAUUUCCCAGCU
ensembl:lncRNA